AACAUCGCGCACCUGCGGGAACCUGCGGAAGGAUCAUUACAGAGUUGCAAGACUCCCUAAACCAUUGUGAACGUUACCUAAACCGUUGCUUCGGCGGGCGGCCCGGGUCCUUCCCGGCGCCCCUCGGCCCUCGCGGGCGCCCGCCGGAGGUAAACCAAACUAUUGCAUUGUAUGGCCUCUCUGAGUCUUCUGUACUGAAUAAGUCAAAACUUUUAACAACGGAUCUCAGAUCGGAAGAGC
rnacentral:misc_RNA from 1 species